rnacentral:rRNA from 1 species
UCAAGCUAGAAAGAGCGCAAGGGGAAUGCCUUGGCAUCAGGAGCCGAUGAAGGACGUGACAAGCUGCGAUAAGCUGCGGUGAGCUGCACAUAAGCUUUGACCCGCAGAUUUCCGAAUGGGGAAACCCGGCAGAGCAAUACUCUGUCAGCGUGCGUUGAAUCAAAUAGGCGUACGCGGGGAACCGCCUGAACUGAAACAUCUAAGUAGGGCGAGGAAGAGAAAUCAACCGAGAUUCCGCUAGUAGUGGCGAGCGAACGCGGAAGAGGGCAAACCGGAGGAUUUAUCCUCCGGGGUUGUGGACAGUUUUUUAGCAACUGGAACUAGGAGAACGGUAUGGGAAGGCCGGCCAUAGCGGGUGAUAGCCCCGUAUCCGAAAGGGAAGGUUGUGCGACUGGAUCCAGAGUACCGCCGGACACGUGAAACCCGGUGGGAAGCUGGGGGGACCACCCUCCAACCCUAAAUACUACCUGAUGACCGAUAGAGGAGCAGUACCGUGAGGGAAAGGUGAAAAGGACCCCGGGAGGGGAGUGAAAGAGAACCUGAAACCUUGUGCUUACAAGCACUCAAAGCCCGUUAAAGGGUGAUGAGGUACCUUUUGUAGAAUGGUCCGGCGAGUUAUUGUUACUGGCAAGCUUAAGGCAUUCAGUGCCGGAGGCGCAGGGAGACCGAGUCUGAAUAGGGCGUAUGAAGUCAGUGGCAAUAGACCCGAAACCGGGUGACCUAUCCAUGGGCAGGUUGAAGUGGGGGUAAAACCCCAUGGAGGACCGAACGCACGCCCGUUGCAAUGGUCGGCGAUGACCUGUGGAUAGCGGUGAAAUUCCAAUCGAACUCGGAGAUAGCUGGUUCUCCCCGAAAUAGCUUUAGGGCUAGCGUUGGCUUAGAUUACCGGAGGUAAAGCACUGAAUGGGCUAGGGGCCGAUAAGGUUACUGAACCCUAUCAAACUCUGAAUGCCGGAUAAUUGAUGGCCAGCAGUCAGUCUACGUGAGAUAAGUCUCGUGGACAAAAGGGAAACAGCCCAGACCCACAGCUAAGGUCCCAAAGAUACGCUAAGUGGAAAACGAUGUGGAGUUGCGAAAACAACCAGGAUGUUGGCUUAGAAGCAGCCACUCAUUAAAAGAGUGCGUAAUAGCUCACUGGUCGAGUGACUCUGCGCGGAAAAUAUAACGGGGCUAAGCGUAACACCGAAGCUUGGGCUGCACAGCAAUGUGCGGGGUAGGGGAGCGUCGAAUAUGGGGUGAAGUCGCAGCGGAAGCAGCGGUGGACUGUAUUCGAGUGAGAAUGCCGGAAUGAGUAGCGAGAAUUAUGUGGGAAUCAUAAUGGCCGAAAAUCUAAGGUUUCCUGGGGAAGGUUCGUCCGCCCAGGGUAAGCCGGGAGCUAAGGCGAGGCCGAAAGGCGUAGUCGAUGCACAUACGGUUGAAAUUCCGUAGCCACCGAACCUUAAGUACACUGACACAUAGAGAUAGCGGGACCCGGGCGUUGGUUGACCCGGGCGUAAGGGACCGAACUAUAGUAGGGAAGUCCGCGAUGCUCUGUGGCGAGAAAAGGUGUAUGGUAUGCUAAGGUGCCCGUACCGCAAACCGACACAGGUAGAUGAGGAGAGAAUCCUAAGGCCAACGGGAGAAGGGUUGUUAAGGAACUCGGCAAAAUGACCCCGUAACUUCGGGAUAAGGGGAGCCUCCUACGGGAGGCCGCAGCGAAUAGGCCCAAGCGACUGUUUACCAAAAACACAGGUCUCUGCUAAAUCGAAAGAUGACGUAUAGGGGCUGACGCCUGCCCGGUGCUGGAAGGUUAAGAGGAGAUGUUAGCCGCAAGGCGAAGCAUUGAAUCGAAGCCCCAGUAAACGGCGGCCGUAACUAUAACGGUCCUAAGGUAGCGAAAUUCCUUGUCAGGUAAGUUCUGACCCG